CUACUUUGUUUCCUUAUCUUUUUGUGUGAGAACUAUUGUUUUUGAACCUUUUUCUCUCUUCCCCUUCCUUUCUACAAAUUAUCCCUCAUUUGGAUCUAGGUAAGCCAUUACCAUUCAGGGUUUCAACAAUAUUUUUGUUAUCAAAACCAAACUCCAUAUUCCGAAAACAACAAUAUAAGGCUAUUUACAUGGAUUUUUAAAUCGAGAAAGCUUUCUCCAUUAAGACGUCUUUGUUUACCUUUAUGCUAUGAGAGAUAAUCGCGAGAGCUUCACCUUUUCUAUAAGAGCUAAUCGCGAGAGCUUCCCCUCAAAGUUCCCGUUAACCUUUGCAUGCUAAGCUAGCAUCCGAGAUGCAUUUUAUCCAACCAUUUCCAGGAAGUUUCCAAUGAAAUCGAUGUUUAUUUUCAUCAUCUAGUUUUCUAUUGUUAUCAUAGUACUUGUCGUCCAUAUUCUUGUUCUGAUUCUUCCUAAUAUUCGCCUAUUUUUAUUUUUUCAUGUUGUUCUUUCAAUGCUUAUCUUCACUUUGCCUUUGCUUUCUGAUUUCUCCAUCUUCCUCCUUAUUUAUCCUGAGGCUAUACCUUGGUGUAUCAGUGUUAUCAUGAUGUUUGUGGCUCUCUGUGUUAGUGUUACACGUCUUAUCCUUGGCUUUUCUGGGUGAAGCAUUGUGUUGAUCAUUAUUGAUGGGGAGCAAUCCUCAUAUUAUUUUGAUAGUGAUACCUAUUUUGGCAAAUGUGGCGGUCAUUAUCCUUGUUCUGAUGUUGAGAAAUUGGGUUAUUUAGUGUGAUAUUUCCCCAUGGGGGAAACUUUGUUCACGACAUGCACGUGUAAUACAAAGGAGGAGUGAAACCAAUGUAGAAGGGCAAGAAUAUGAUAAGUGGAGUUUUUUCGAGGAAGUUAGCUUAGUUAAAGACCGGGUUUAUGAUGGAUUUAGACUUUGGAAAAAGAUAUUAGGACUUCAUGAAGGGUUUGUUCACUUCAUUGAUGAUGUACAAGCUGAAAAAAUUCUAAUCAUAGCCUUGGUAGUAAUGUUGAUGGGCAUAUAUGGGUAGAACAUGGUGUUGAAGACAUGAUAAGCAAUGUGUUAAAGCCUGAUAUUAAACAAUUUAGUUAAUGUAAUGAUGAUUAUAUCACUGAUGACGAUGAUAGGGGAAUAAGGUUUGAUGAUACCAAACUAUGGUGUAAAAAUUCCUUUAGUUUUUACCUAAGUGUGAAGUGUUGAUGAACAACCUUAGUGAGUCAUUUAAUAAUAAAAUUCUACAAGCUAGAGAUAAACCAACUUUGACAAUGUGUGAGUGGAUUAGGAACUAUAUAAUAAAUAGGGUUGCUAACAGUUUGGUUAAGCUUGACAAAUGGAAAAACAAUGUCAUGCUCAUACCUAGGAAAAAAUUAGAUAAGGAAAUUUUGUUGAGUGGUCAAUGGCUGCCAACAUGGAGUAAGGGUGAGUUAUGGCAAGUUCAUCAUACAUAUAAUGGACUUCAGUUUGUAGUUAAUCUUGGGGAAAAAUUGUACGUGUUGUUUUUGGGACCUAGUGGGGAUACCUUGUAUACAUGUUGUGUCUGCUAUGUAGUAUCAAAAUUUGAACCAUGAAUCAUAUGUUGACCCAUGUUACACGAGGGAGGCUUAUAAAACCUACUAUGAAAACAAUGUCAGUCCAAUCAAUGGUAUGGACACAUGGCCAAAUAUGGACAUUGAGGACAUGCUGCCACCUCAGUAUAAGAAGGGUCCAGGUAAGCCUAAGAAAUUGAGGUUUAUAGAGCAUGAUGAAUCUGGGUCUAGGAUGAGCAGGCAUGGUGUAGCAUAUAGAUGCACAAAGUGUGACAAAUUUGGCCAUAAUUCAAGGAAAUGUCAUAGCAAAGAACGUGAUCUUAAUGCAUUGAAAAGAAAGAGGAAAACACCAAGGACCAAGGCCUUUGCAAAUGAUGUUGAAAUUGAAGGGGUGUCUAAGAUAAAUGCUCCUGAAAGUGUGCAUGGAAUAAAUGAUCCAAAUUUAGAUGCACAGCUUAAAGAGAUGAUGACAUAUUUUGAACACACAACUGAUGUUGCACAAAUAGAGAAGGCAUAAUCUCAAGUGUGCAAUACCACCCAUGAAUGUACACUAACUGAGCAUACACAAGAAGAAGAAGUUGUCUAAGCAGUUCCUCAAGAAGUUGUCCAAGAAGUUUCUCAAGAAGUUGACAAAAUAGUUGAGAAGAAGAAAAAAGUUGCCAAAGUAGCUGAGAAGAAGAAACAAGUUACUAAAGUAGUUGAGAAGAAGAAACAAGUUUUCGAGGAAGUUAAGAAGAAUAAAUAAGUUACCAAGGAAUUUGAGAAGAAAAAAAAAUUGAUGUGAAUAAUACACAGGCAUCUAAGAGAAGUAGUGAUAGAUUGGAAUCUGUUUGGAGGUCUAAACAUAAUGUUGGGCCUGGUUCAACUUCAGUUGCAUCAUUUGUAGUUGAUGAGGAACCUUCUAUGAAGAAAAUGAGGCCAUGGGA